rnacentral:tRNA from 1 species
AGCGGGAUAGUUCAGUAGUAGAAUGCGAGGCUCAUAACCUCGAGGUCGUAGGUGCAACUCCUUCUCCCGCCUCCA